rnacentral:lncRNA from 1 species
GGAUGGUUGGGAUUUUUUUUGGGUUUCUAAUCUCUUCUUCUUUCUCUCUCUAGCCUUUUGGAUCUUUUUUUGUGUGGGGGUUUAGCAGUCAAAUUUUUAUAUAUUAAUUUGUAUAUAUCUUUGAUGUUGCAGGUGCAAAAAAAAUGGAAAUGUCUUUUAGCAUCCAGCAUCUCGAUGAGAGUGAGUUUGUGUAACUUUUUUCCCUUUUUUAUAAAGUGCGUCUCUUUUGUUUUUCUAUUUCCUUCCUAAGUUAUUGCCUGAUUUUUUAGCAACUGGUAGUGGAAUCCUCUGGAAUGUAUUUGUUAAAGAGCUUUCAGGUUAGAGUUUGGGAUCCAAAGAAGCCCUUACUGUCAAGAUUUUGCAUAAAUCCUAUGGUUAGAAUUUUGGAACCCCAUCUCGUGUCUUGAUGUUUUAUAUGGGUUAUUUGGAGAAGCAAAAGUCGGAGAUUUUUACUUUUCUCUCUUUCUCUUUAGAAAGGAAACCCCUUUUCCCCUUUUCUUGCCUAAGGACUACUUGUAGUUUUUUUUUUUUGUGAGAAAGAGAUGGGAAAAAAUUGUCACUUUCUAUUUUCUUGUAUUUUUUUGUUAACUAAUAUGCUCCAAGAGAUCUAGGAUCUUUCAGAAAAAUUUGAAGUGUCGUUUUAUGUAUUUGUAUGAAUUGAUUUAUUGUGUUUUCAUUUGUUUAUUUGUUAUUGUUAGGGUAUAAAUGAAGAAUUAAGAGGCGAAUUUGACGGUAAAUUUGCAGGCUUGGAGUGAAAGGUUACAAUAGAGAAAAAUGAAAGCUUCCCAGAAUAUCAUACCCAAGGGUUCUCUCUCUCUCUCUCUCAGUGUCCGUUUUUUCUGUUAAAUCCACUUUUGAUUAAUUAAGUUUCAACUAUGAAUUUUUUUUACUGCAAAUAUCCUUAUGUUAGUAUAAUUUGCUUUAAAUUACUGGUAGUUUAAAUUGCUUGGAGUAUAAUUUUUUUGUAUUGAAAAAUUUUGAAGUAAGUGAUCUUACUUGCUGGUCAAAGUAGAACCAUACGAGGCCCUGUUGGGUUUAUUAUCAAUGGUUUCUUACUACAAGCAUAUUUUUUUUAAGUGUACAAUGUUGAUUACUCUUAAAUGAUAGGGAAGGUGGGUAUAUGAUUUCUAAGGUAUAAAAAUUGCUAAUGAGUCAGGAAAUCUUGAAACAAGGUCUCUGACCCUAGGCUUGAGAAAUCUUGAAGGUUUCUGAACCUCCCGGUUUGGCUUGCCUCUCCGUGUUCUGUAAUUUUGUUUUUUAGAAUUAGUUAUUUGUAUCAUUUUAAUUUUUCGGUUUAUUCCUAAUACCAACUUACUAUUCUUGUUCCAGGUUUUUCCUUCUCAUUUUACUUGAAAUCUAUGCUCUUUUUUUUCACAUGUAAAUGCAUAUUUUUCCCUGGCAUCGUUAACACAAUAUUUUGUGUUGUCUCUUUCUUUUUGGCCACUUGGCAAAUUGAUUCGAUAAUAUUCUUAAAUCUUAACUGAAUUCUUUCUGCAUUUAGAAGCUUGAUUUUAUUUUCUUAAAUUUGUUUUCUAACAACCUUCCAUUCUUUGUUUGCUCCCUGCAUAAUCAAAUGCAGUUUAUUUUUAUAUGAUAUUGUGGAUUUUUUAAAAUUCUUCUUUUUCCUUUGCUUGCAUAUAGUUUUGGGAUAAUCUGUUGUUUAUACAUUUCCCCUUUCCUUGCUUUGUUUGUCAAACCUGUCAUUCUAUAAUUCUUUAGGGGCCUAUUAUUGCUUGUAAAUGAUGGGUUGUCCUGACUACUUGAUGUGUAUUGUGUAUAAAUUUGUAUUUAAUAGUCUGUGAAGAUGGCAACUUAUGUGCCGUAACCUAUUUUUGUUUAGCGGUUUUGUUAUCCUGUUUUAUUUACUUUAAAAUCUCACAUGAAAAAUGCUUCUUUACUAAAGUGAACAAUUCUGAUUCGUACACAACUUCUAGGAUAUUUCUGAAUUGUUGAGUCUUGCAUUUGUUAGUAGCUUAUAUUUCCAAAAUGCAAAACUUUUAUGUGCUUUUGUUUGUGGAUUUAGGUACUUCUUCAAACACUGCAUUUGGUAAACCUCUCUUCUGCACUCCUUCGAGAAGUAAUAGCUAGUGUUAACAGGUAUGCUUUGUUAUUCAAUCGUUCUUUUUCUUGUGUUUCACUUUGACAUCUCAGUGGCUUUUUUUUCUUAAAUUAAAAGUGGAUUAAAAUCUUGAAGGUUUCACCAUACCCAAGGGACAGAGAGUA